rnacentral:rRNA from 1 species
UACGUAGGGUGCGAGCGUUGUCCGGAAUUACUGGGCGCAAAGAGCUCGUAGGUGGUUUGUCGCGUUGUUCGUGAAAACUCACAGCUUAACUGUGGGCGUGCGGGCGAUACGGGCAGACUGGAGUACUGCAGGGGAGACUGGAAUUCCUGGUGUAGCGGUGGAAUGCGCAGAUAUCAGGAGGAACACCGGUGGCGAAGGCGGGUCUCUGGGCAGUAACUGACGCUGAGGAGCGAAAGCGUGGGGAGCGAACAGG